CAAUAGCGUAUAUUAAAGUUGUUGCAGUUAAAAAGCUCGUAGUUGGAUUUCUGGUAGGAGUGACCGUGCCAGACUUGAUUGUCUGUGUAUUGUGUUGUCUCCAGCCAUCCUUGUGGAGAACUUUUCUUGCAUUAAUUUGUAGGGAUUGGGACCCGCAUCGUUUACUGUGAAAAAAUUAGAGUGUUUAAAGCAGGCAAUCGCUUGAAUACAUUAGCAUGGAAUAAUAAGAUAGGACUUUGGUACUAUUUUGUUGGUUUGUAUACCAAAUUAAUGAUCAACAGGAACAGUUUGAGGAUAUUCGUAUGAACAUGUCAGAGGUGAAAUUCUUGGAUUUUGAUCAGACGAACUACUGCGAAAGCAUUUAUCAAGGAUGUUUUCAUUAA
rnacentral:rRNA from 1 species